rnacentral:misc_RNA from 1 species
GAUGAAGAACGCAGCGAAAUGCGAUAAGUAAUGUGAAUUGCAGAAUUCAGUGAAUCAUCGAAUCUUUGAACGCACAUUGCGCCCCCUGGUAUUCCGGGGGGCAUGCCUGUCCGAGCGUCAUUACAACCCUCAAGGUCAGCUUGGUGUUGGGCCCCGCCGCCCCGGCGGGCCCUAAAGUCAGUGGCGGUGCCGUCCGGCUCCGAGCGUAGUAAUUCUUCUCGCUCUGGAGGUCCGGUCGUGUGCUCGCCAGCAACCCCCAAUUUUUUUCAGGUUGACCUCGGAUCAGGUAGGGAUACCCGCUGAACUUAAGCAUAUCAAUAAGCGGAGGA